AUCGAAGCAACAACGCCACACAAGCAGGAGGCAGAUCAUGUUCGUCGAUACAGUGGUUCUCGCCGGUAUAGGCACCGUCGGUCUCAUGGUCGCCUUCUUCGUAGGCGUCGGUUACUUCAUCUGGAAAGACUCGCACAAACGCGCUCCGCGUUGAGUCACUCCGGGUUUACAGGCACGCAAGGCACCUCGGGCGACUUCGGUCGCCCAUUUUUUUG
rnacentral:sRNA from 1 species